rnacentral:rRNA from 2 species
ACGUGGGAACGUGCCCAAAGGUACGGAACAACUCCGGGAAACUGGAGCUAAUACCGUAUGUGCCCGAGAGGGGAAAGAUUUAUCGCCUUUGGAUCGGCCCGCGUCUGAUUAGCUAGUUGGUGGGGUAAUGGCCUACCAAGGCGACGAUCAGUAGCUGGUCUGAGAGGAUGGCCAGCCACACUGGGACUGAGACACGGCCCAGACUCCUACGGGAGGCAGCAGUGGGGAAUAUUGGACAAUGGGCGCAAGCCUGAUCCAGCCAGGCCGCGUGAGUGAUGAAGGCCUUAGGGUUGUAAAGCA